rnacentral:rRNA from 1 species
AACGAACGCUGGCGGCAUGGAUUAGGCAUGCAAGUCGAACGCAUGUAGCAAUACAUGAGUGGCGCAAGGGUGAGGAACACGUGAGUAAACUGCCCUUUAGUUGGGAAUAACUCUACGAAAGUGGAGCUAAUACCGAAUGUGGCAUAUAGAUUGCAUGAUUUAUAUGCUAAAGAUUUAUUGCUAAAGGAUGUGCUCGCGUCCCAUUAGCUUGUUGGUGAGGUAACGGCUCACCAAGGCAAUGACGGGUAGGUGGUCUGAGAGGAUGGUCACCCACACUGGGACUGAGAACUGCCCAGACUCCUACGGGAGGCAG